AUGGCAACCAACACCCUGCCCUCUCGCUCCCUCCUCGCUGCUCCGGCCCAGCACCCUGGUCUACGGCUCGGGACCUCUCUCCGCCUCUCCCUCUCCCUCUCUCACCACAAUCAACCUGCCGACGACCCUGAGCGCCGCCGAGCUCCGGGCGGCUCUCAUCCGGCCUUCUCGCGCGGUAACCGUGCCAAGAAGAUCCCCAUCCCGACCACUGGCGAGCCCGCCGCCGGCAUCCGGGUCACCGACCGGGGCCUCGCCUACCACCUCGAGGGGGCGCCGUUUGAGUUCCAGUACAGCUACACGGAGGCCCCACGAGCACGCCCCGUCGCGCUCCGGGAGGCUCCAUUCCUGCCGUUCGGUCCCGAGGCCACGCCGCGCCCGUGGACCGGGAGGAAGCCUUUCCCCAAGAGCCGCAAGGAGCUGCCUGAGUUCGACUCUUUCGUGCUACCGCCGCAUGGCAAGAAAGGGGUGAAGCCCGUGCAGUCGCCAGGGCCAUUCCUCGCUGGGAUGGAGCCAAGGUACCAAGCGGCGUCCAGGGAGGAGGUCCUCGGGGAACCGCUCACCAGAGACGAGGUCGCCGUGCUCGUCAAGGGAAACCUCAAGGCGAAACGGCAGCUCAAUAUGGGCAGGGAUGGUUUAACACACAAUAUGUUGGAGAACAUUCAUGCACACUGGAAGAGGAAGAGAGUUUGCAAGAUAAAAUGCAAAGGUGUAUGUACAGUUGACAUGGAUAAUGUCUGCCAACAACUCGAGGAAAAAGUUGGAGGAAAAGUAAUUCACCGUCAAGGGGGUGUUAUAUUUCUCUUUCGUGGCAGAAACUAUAAUUACAGGACUCGUCCAGUUUUUCCACUUAUGCUCUGGAGACCUGCAGCACCGAUGUACCCUCGCCUGGUCAAAAUGGUGCCGGAUGGCUUAACUUCAGACGAGGCAACACAAAUGCGCAAGAGAGGGCAUCAAUUAACACCAAUUUGCAAACUUGGAAAAAAUGGUGUUUAUGCUAACCUUGUGAAGGAAGUUAGAGAAGCAUUUGAGGCAUGUGAUCUUGUCCGAGUUGAUUGCUCAAGUCUAAACAAAAGUGAUUGCAGAAAAAUUGGAGCUAAACUGAAGGAUCUAGUUCCGUGUAUCUUGCUGUCUUUUGAGUUUGAACAUAUACUGAUGUGGAGAGGAAAUGAUUGGAGAUCAUCUCUUCCUCUGCCAGAAGUUGUAAGUGAUCAACAUCCGUUCUAUGGUGAAGAAAAAAUGAAUAAAAUGGAAAAUGAUUCAGCAACUGUUCCGACUUCUAUCGAGGUGGUCAAUAAUGCAGCAUCUGUUUACAACAGCAUCUUGAGUGAACGUGAACGUUUUCUGGAAGAUCCCUUGAAUCCUAGUCUUGCUAAUGAUAUGGUGCUAAGUUCUCCAUUUACAGUCCCUGGAUUGUGUAAUUCUAAGAGUGUAGCUGUAACUGAAAUCUCAGUUGUUGGUCCAUUACAACUUUCUACUUCAGAUACAGCGAUUCCAGCUCUUACGUCACAGUUUUAUGGCCGAGGUAUCCUAUCAGGCAACAGUGAAAAUGGAGAUCCAGUUCAAAGGUCUCCUGUUGACUCUGGGAAGUCUGAACAAUAUCCAGAUGUGGUAGAAACUUCCAUUUGUCCGACGAGCAGGAGUGAUGUGGUCAGCAAAUUAGAGACUACGAGGAAAAUUAGUAAAUAUUUGAAUGGACAUGAUGGUGUAAAGAGUUAUUCAACCAUGUUAUCCUGUGUGGAGGGAAUGUUACUUCUUUUAGAACAGGCCACAUUAACUGGAAGGGCAAAUGUCUUGGAUGAAAAUGAGUUUGUUGAUGCUGAUGUGAUUUAUCAAAAGUCUGUUGCCUUUGCAAAGACAGCUCCACGAGGUCCACUUUUCAAAAGUGCACGAAGGAAGUCCGGCCUUCGGAAAAGCAUGCCAGAUAAGAGCGUAAGAGUAAAGAAGCAUUCUAUAGAACAUGAAGAACCUAGUGAUGUUGAAAGGAAAUAUGAUGUCGACAGACGAUUGGGAAAGCAGAGAAAUGAUCUUGCACAAGAGUUUCUAUCGGAUGUGGUUCCACGAGGUACACUGAGAGUGGAUGAACUAGCGAAGUUACUUGCUUAG
rnacentral:rRNA from 1 species